rnacentral:lncRNA from 1 species
AAAACAUUAACAUUUUUAUAUAUGAGUUUAGGCAUUUAUGAGGCUGAUCCAGCUAGCAGUAAAAACAGAAGAGGUGUUCUUGCUAGCUGCCAUUUCUGUUUUGGACUGUUCCGAGCAAAAGAUGAGUGGUCUUUCUUUGCAACAGGGCUUUUAUAACCAACAUAAGAGACUUAAGACUGACAGAGGUUUUGAUGCAAUGAUUGGAGCCUCUCACAACUUCCUAUGCUUCAUUUCCCUCCUGUGAUCUGAGACCAGCCAAAGUUGUAAGACUACUCAUACAGAGUAUUUAUGAAAAAUGGAAUGCAGAUUGCCACAGAUACUGGAAAACAGAAAGUCCCUUGCAGGAGAAAAAUAUCCUGUCACCAGGUCCAAUUAUGACAGAGGUAAAAAUUCGCUCUGAUUGUUGUAUUAGUUUCUCUCCUAACAUAUUGUGGAAAAAGUUACUGGAACAUUAGAGCUUAAAUUUGUCUUGAAAUGGCGUACUGACCAGCCAAAUAUAGUUUAUCUGCAGUGAGUGCCCUCACAAAAUUCUGUCAGAGAUUGGUUUGAAAAGCAAAUCUAUUCUGUGAUUACUUGAUCAAAGAUUAUCUGAAUUUUUUGUUCUUGAAAUCUACCAGCAAAUCUUAGAAGGUUGUAUUUGACAAAUCCCAAUUCUGACCACAUCAGAAAUAAGGGCUGUUGGGUUUUUUUUUUAAGCUAUUUUUAUACUGCCUCAUCAAGUCUACAUAAGCAAUGAAACAUAGAAGCACACAGAAAUGUAUAGAUAAAGUGAAUCACUUUUUUCAGUUCAUUUUUAAUUCAUUUUGAAUGGAAUUUUAGGCAAGGGUUCAAGUUGACUCCUUUUUUUAAAACUAAUUUUCUUCUCACAAUUAGUACAUUUCAUAGUCUUGACUUUGAAAUACAUUAUUUAUUUAAGACAUCUCUCUGCUAGCUGUGAAGAAUUAAUUCUUCAAACUCUGCAGUAGACAAAUAUUCUGUAGCUGAGACCGGCAAACUCAUUUUCACUUGUGGAUUUGAACUCACAGGCCAGAUUCAUCAAUGAGAUAAUGAGACAUUUUCUGUAUUUCAAUUUUUAACAAUUUUCAUAUCCGUAUUCAUUAAAUUUUAAAAGAAGAUAAAUAAUG